GACAGAGGUGGCAAGCGUUGUUCGGAGUUACUGGGCGUAAAGAGUCUGUAGGUGGUUUGUCAAGUCUUUGGUAAAACGCCGUGGCUCAACCAUGGUUUGGCCAAGGAGACUGGGAGACUGGAGGCUGGGAGAGGGAAGCGGAAUUUCUGGUGUAGCGGUGAAAUGCGUAGAUAUCAGAAGGAAGGCCGGUGGCGAAGGCGGCUUCCUGGAACAGUCCUGACACUGAGAGACGAAAGCGUGGGGAGCAAACAGG
rnacentral:rRNA from 1 species